CAUGGGAAUAAGCAUGAACAUGAAAUGGGCAUGAGCAUAGAUGUGGGCAUGAGAAGGUGAUAAACAGUGACAUGAGUAACAUGAGUAUGAAAUGGAAAUUGGCAUGGGCAUAUGCAUAGGCAUGGGGAGAUAACGGGCAUGGGCUUGAGGAGAAGAGGGACGUGGAUGUAGGAAGGAGUGGAUGUAGGUAUGGGCAUGGGGAGGGUUAUCAACAUGGAAAUAAACGUGAAUGGGAAAUGGAAAUGGGUGCAGGCAUCGGUGUGGGCAUGGAGAGGUGAUGGAAAUGAGAGUGGGCAGGAGAAUGAAAUGGAAAUGUUCAUGGAGGAGAUGGACAUAGGCAUGGGAAGUAGAUGGAUGUUGGAAUGAGCAUGAGUAUGGGGAAGAGACAGAUGUGGCCAUAGGCACAGGCAUGGUGUGGGGAUGGAAAUGGGCAUGGACAUGAAUAUGACAUGGGCAAUGGGAGUAAAUAGGCAUGGGUGUGGACGUGGACAUAGGAAAGAAAUGGUCAUGGCAGAGACAGGCAUGGGCAUAACAUGGGCAUAGGGAGAGAUGAGCAUGAGAUAGAUAUGGACAUGGUUAUGAAUGUGAAUACGGGAAGGUUGCGAAUGAGGGCAGACCAUGUGAUAGUGAUGCACAGAUCUGGACAUGAGCAUGAGAUGGAAACAGGCAUGGAAAUGGACAGGGAGAUUAUGUGGGCAUAGGAAAAGGAUGGAUAUGGCAUAGGCAUAGCAUUGGCCUACGUGCAUAAGGGAAGGAUUAAUGUGUCAUGAGCAUGAGGGGUGUGGUCAUUGGACACAGCUGGACAUGGAAUUGGCAUGGGAAUGGAAUGGCCAUAGGCAUAGUAUGUGGAGGGAAUGAGCAUGUUCAGGAGCAUGAGAUGAAAACAGCAUGGGAAAGGAAUGGACAAAGACACAGGGAGGGUGUAGGCAUGAGCGUAAGAUUGGACAUGGGUAUGGACAUGGUGGUGAGAUGAGAUGGGUGUGGAUGUGAGUGUGAACAUGGGUAUUUGAAGGUAACAGAGAAAGUAGAGGAUGGGAAUGCAGUUGGGCAGGGGAUGGGUCCAAGUUGGGCUUGUGGAUAGGUUGAGUGUAUGCAUAAGGUGGGCAUGGGGAUGUGACAGGCCUCAGCAUGGAAUGGGAUAGAGAUGAGGUUAAGGACAGGGGUGGGAUGGAGAUCCACCUGAAGCGGUGCUGCUGUGCCCUGACUCUGGUGACCCUCCCUCUGCCUUCCCAGGGUCAGCCCCACUUUAGAUACUGAAAGGCCACUCAAGUCUUCCCAGAACCUUCUCUUCUCCAGGCUGAACAGCUCCGAUAAUAAUUGAACUGUGAAGGUUUUCAGAUGUAUUCAAGCUAUCUAUCAACACUGACUAUCUACAGCCUCACAAAAUGCAAACCCAGGUCACUGAUGCAGCCUGGCCUUGAGGCUUCCAGGGAUGGGACAUCCACAGCUUUUCUCAGAAACUCUCAUCAUGAAAAAAUUAUUUUUUCUAAAGACAUGUAUCUGUCUUUACCAUGUGCUCAUACUUUUAGGUAAAAAAUUCCCUGUCAGCAGGGAACCGCAUGUCCCG
ensembl:lncRNA